CCACGUCAUCGGCAAUAGGUUUACACAGCACGUUUACCAAUACAUUUGAUAGACGUCAAGCUUUAUUUCAGAGCGUCGGACUAAACAGUGAUCAAUUGAUAAAGUUGAAAGAACUGUAUCAAAAUUACAAAAAUACCAACACAAUUAUUCAGAUGGGAUUCGCACAAGACGUGGAAAAAACCUUUGGAACGGAAUGGACAAAUUAUAAAAUUAUUUUUAAAUACAAUUCAGUUGAGCAAGAUUUGCACCGUUCAUUGAAGGAGUGGGCGGAAAUGGACAAAAGCUCCGACAAAACCGAGGUAUUCAAGGUCUCAAAUCAACUAGUUUAAACUCGAAAUAACAUAUAAAACACAUAUUGGCAAACGUCGAAAUCGUGAUUUAAUCUGCGUUGGUUCCGCUUGAUUUCUUAGUUAUUCUUUUUUAUACUAUUAUCGUAUUUAUAUUAUAAAAUAUUAUAAUACGAUUCCUUGACCGUUAGAACAGAAAUUUAAAACAACGUAUUUAAAAGUGAUGAUCAUGAUUUUAACGGAGAACAAUAAUGUAACAUGUACAAUCUCAGACGGUACCCGAGACGAUAUAUACACAUAUACACGCACACACCCGUAUGUGCCAGUGAUCGCAAUGUUUUGCUGACGUUGUAAUUUCUGGGACAAUUUUUAUUGUAAUAUUAGUUAGAAGGUUUUAAUAUUAUUUUUCAUAAUAUUAAAUAAAUAAGUGAUUUUUUUUUUCCCUCAAGACAAAGUAAAUUAUAUUAUCAAAAUAUAAAAGAGUAAAUAUUAUCGGUCUGUGCCGUGCAAUUAUGCAAACGUGUAAAAAUAAUUAUCUUUAUAUUUUGCCCCGUAAAUAUAAAUAAGCAAUUAGGAUCGGAACGUCAUUUAUGUAUUACUGUAAUUUCCAGAAGUAGGUCAUUUUAUGGUCCAUUUUAGUCGCGACCCCUAUUUGUGAGCCUAGGAUAAUAUGAACUAGGUCAAUUUUUUUUUCCAACUAUAUUAGAAUUUAAUAUUCACUUACUACUUCUGCCGUACGCCUAUUGCUAAGUCAUCAAUACUACCGAAUUAUUUGCCGAUUUUAUUUACAUCAUCGUUUUUGCCGACGCGUACUAAAUAGUACCCAUUUGCCGUUUGUUUCAUCUUUAGUCGCACGUUGCCGCCCGCAGCCAAGGAGGCGAUCAUAUUCGGCCGCACGUUGCCGCUUUUAAGAUAAUCAAUUUGAAUUUUAAUUUUGUAUGUUUUUAUUUGCCAAUUGCCGUUUUUGCCAUGGCCAUAGAUCGCCGCAAUUUUAAAUUGCCGCAUACCUAUAUUGUUGCCGAUAUUGCCGCCUAAGUGCCGCAUUUUAACCGCAAAGUUCAAUAUUUUAUUGAUUUAUUUUGCCGUUGGUCUGGAGACCAACAUUUUUACCACACCAUAUAACACAUAUCUUUGAAUUUCGAGUGUCGAUCAUAUGGGUAGUUUAAGAGAAAGGAGUAGCUAACCUUUAUUUUAUACGUCCGGAUCGAAUUUUUGAAUUUUAAAUAUUUUGGUUGUUAAUACGCGAAUGUCAUCAGCGAUUUUGGUAGUGAAUAAAUACAUAUUUCCGGUUGGUUACCGUUGAGUUUUUAUAUUUUAUUUAUACGGCUGUUUGUCUCUGCGUUUGUUCAGAUUGACUGUUAUAUUAUUAUUUGGCAAAUAUUUUCCCGGCUAACCACCGGUGACCGUCCGGUUUUACCGUUGACAUGUUUUUUACACGGCACUGUCUCUGACGAUCUCAGAUUGACUUAUUUUACUUGUUGAAUAAUAUUUUAUUAUUUUUAUCAACCAAUGGACGACUAUUAUGUCAGAUCACGAGUUGUCAUUACAUUAUGCGGCGUAUUAAUUUUUCGGCUUUAUAAAAUAAUUUCGGAUUAGUUAAUGAAAUAAUGACUGAUAUUUUACACGGCGUUUCGUUUUCGAUUAACUGUUUUUGACUAUGUUCACAUUAAAUUGGAUUUUAACGAAUUUAUUUUAUUGACACAAGGUGUGCAGAUGCAACCAAUAUUUUCUUUUUACGGCGAUUUUAUUUUUAUGUGCAUAAUUUUGCGCAUGCUGAUUUUCGUAACUAUAUGAAAUUAUUUUGAAAUAGUUUCGUUUAUUUAUUUUUUAUUUUAAUAAAAAUAUUUUAUUUUUCUUAUGAGAACACUUACAAUUUUAAAGGGUACUUACGUUAAAUGACGUCCGAGUUGCUUGUAUUAUCAAACCCAAAAUGUCUGACCACAUAAUUGAUUCUAUUCUUAUUUAAAUGUUAAUUUUCCAAAGCAAUGUGUAUUUAGGGGCUAUAUAAAAUUAUUUAUCAAUUAAUUAUACUGUAUUUCAUUAAGUAUAUAUAUAUAUAUGUAUGUCUUAUUAAGUCGACUUUUAUAUUAAGUUUUAGGCGCAGCGGUACGGUGGUCAACUUUUAAAACUGUCUUUUUAAAGACAACCUGUUUGUUAAUAAUGCCUUUGUUUUACAUAUUUUUAUUAUAUACAUAUAUAUUGACCGAUUGUUAUAGUUAAAAUAAAUCAUUUCCUAGACAUACGAUACGCCAAAGGCGCAAGAUUAGCCGAUGUCAAAAUAUUUUUUGUAAUUUUUUUUGUAUCGUAUGUGUAAUGUUUGUAUACAUUUUAGAAGAAAAAAAACCGCGUAACGACCUGGGGACGGAAAUAAUUACUUUCUUUAAUUUAAAUUGUUUACGGAAAACUACCCUACAAUCAAUCAAAAUACACCUGAAGGUGCGUGCAUUCUUUAACUUAAGUGUAUAUUGUAAAUGGUCUGUUUUUUUAUGCAGCUUUUUCCCCAGAGCCAUUAAGUUAACUUAAAUGCUAUUAAUUUGUGAUUACACAUCAUUUUAUUUUAUAAAUAUUAUUCACCGGAUGCACGCCCACAUUGUUUGUGAUUCUUGAUUCUGGUGGAAAAGAGGACCUAAACUCUACAAUGAAAGAGUUCAAUGGUAAAACAAGAGUAAGCUUCGCGGAUUUCAUGAAAAGGAUAUUAUUUCGUCCAUGAGAAUUAUCUUAAACACCAUUAAUUGGACAAUGUUCAAUAACC